AUCAUCUGAUUCGUCUUCGUCUUCGUCGUCCAUAUCCUCAUCCGUGAAGAAAUCAUCCAGGGAGCUUAGACCCUUUGCAGCCCUAGCUGCAUCACCAGGACAUGGAGGAAUAACCCCCACAGUCUGAAUGAAGGUGCUUAACUGCUGCUGCAACUUCUUGAAUCGUGAUGUUGUUGCCUUUGCCCUCUUCUUCUCCCUCUCAUUCUG
rnacentral:lncRNA from 1 species